CUUUUUCUUUAUGGCUUCCUCUUCUCUUCACUUCACUGCCUCUCUGCUCUCACUCCAUGUAAACCACUCAUAACCACCACCAACUCCAACCUCCAUCACCAUGACAUGUGUGUGAAGAAAUAAAUUGGGUUGAGAUGAAUUUAAGCUAUUUUGAAAAGGUUGGAAGAUAAUUACAUCUAAAAGAGGAAAAGGGGGAAAGUGUGAUGGAGGAUAUGGUGGCGGCAAUGGCAGUGCCAUCCAAAACCAAGAGAGAAAGAAUUCAAUUCGUUUAAACUUGUUAUGAUUGAUUGCGUCUUUCUUUGGUUAAUACCCUAAUCUUCAUCUUUCUUAUUUUCUUUCUUUGUAUUUAUCUCUUCUGGGGUUUAUCAUUUUUUGAUUUUUUGAUUGAUAGAAUCACAACUCUUAAGUUGAUAACUGAUACGGCUGAUUUGAUAUUUAAUACUUCUAAAGCAAAUUAGUUUCUGCUAGAGUCGUUUGUUAGGACAAGAAGUGGAUAAUAAGGGAUGAGGACCUGAAGAAUCUUUGCAUAAGAUGGUUGUUGUAAUGUAAAUUUUGAUACAUAACUUAAGAUGGAUGAAUCCAAUACAGUUGAUUUUUUUCCUUUGA